UACGUAGGGUGCGAGCGUUAAUCGGAAUUACUGGGCGUAAAGCGUGCGCAGGCGGUUCGUGAUGUCUGAUGUGAAAGCCCCGGGCUCAACCUGGGAACUGCAUUGGAAACUAGCGGGCUGGAGUGUGGCAGAGGGGGGUGGAAUUCCACGUGUAGCAGUGAAAUGCGUAGAGAUGUGGAGGAACACCGAUGGCGAAGGCAGCCCCCUGGGCUAACACUGACGCUGAGACGCGAAAGCGUGGGGAGCAAACAGG
rnacentral:rRNA from 1 species